AAUAGAUACCCUGGUAGUCCACGCCGUAAACGAUGAGUGCUAAGUGUUAGAGGGUUUCCGCCCUUUAGUGCUGAAGUUAACGCAUUAAGCACUCCGCCUGGGGAGUACGGCCGCAAGGCUGAAACUCAAAGGAAUUGACGGGGGCCCGCACAAGCGGUGGAGCAUGUGGUUUAAUUCGAAGCAACGCGAAGAACCUUACCAGGUCUUGACAUCCUCUGACAACCCUAGAGAUAGGGCUUCUCCUUCGGGAGCAGAGUGACAGGUGGUGCAUGGUUGUCGUCAGCUCGUGUCGUGAGAUGUUGGGUUAAGUCCCGCAACGAGCGCAACCCUUGAUCUUAGUUGCCAUCAUUAAGUUGGGCACUCUAAGGUGACUGCCGGUGACAAACCGGAGGAAGGUGGGGAUGACGUCAAAUCAUCAUGCCCCUUAUGACCUGGGCUACACACGUGCUACAAUGGACGGUACAAAGAGCUGCAAGACCGCGAGGUGGAGCUAAUCUCAUAAAAACCCGUUCUCAGUUCGGA
rnacentral:rRNA from 1 species